rnacentral:rRNA from 1 species
UACGUAGGUGGCAAGCGUUGUCCGGAUUUACUGGGCGUAAAGAGCGCGCAGGCGGUCGGAUCAGUCGAAUGUGAAAGCCCCCGGCUCAACUGGGGAGGGUCAUUCGAUACUGUCCGACUCGAAGGCAGGAGAGGGAAGCGGAAUUCCCGGUGUAGUGGUGAAAUACGUAGAUAUCGGGAGGAACACCAGUGGCGAAGGCGGCCCCCUGGGCCGCUCCUGACGCUGAGACGCGAAGGCCAGGGUAGCGAACGGG